rnacentral:lncRNA from 1 species
AAGAUGGUGUGGAUGCACAUGUAGUAGAGGAAACAACCGAAUCAUUGUGUGUUGAAGAGGUAAGCUAUAUUUUUUAUUGUACAUAUAACUUGCGAGGUUUAACCUUUAUAUUGAGAUGUUUACACAUAUAUAAUAAGAAACUUUCUAAAUACUCUAACUUUUUUUUAUACUAAAUUGAAAAUUCUGAUAUAUUUUAUGUUUAUUUUAAGUAGUACAGAGAUACUUAAAAUAUGUAGAAACUGCAAUAGUACUGUAUUCUAUUAUUUUUUUUUUUUUACAGGCUACAGAAUUUGUUUUAGAAGAACAUGGUCCAAGAACCAAGACAAAGGGCACACAAUAUAAUUGUAAACCAAAAAGAAGAUCAAUGUUCUGUCAGACUAACUUAUCAACAAAAAAGAAACCAGUAAACACUGAAAGAAAAAAUAUGGUCAAUAAAGGUA